rnacentral:rRNA from 1 species
UAUUAUUUUUGAUGUGAAUUCUUUAUGCUUGAGUAGUAUUAGUUUUGGUCUUGAAACUUAAAGAAUUUGGCGGUAUUUUAGUCUUUUUAGAGGAAUCUGUCCCAUUAUCGAUAUUCCACGUUGAAUACUUACUUAAUCUAAUGUUUAUAUACCGCCGUUUUUUGGAAUGUCUUUUUAGAGUUAGUAAAGUUCUUAUUUUUUAUUAAGGUUUAUUUCAGGUCAAGGUUUAAUAUAUGAUUAAGUGGAGAUGGAUUACAAUAUUUUUUGAGUAUUAUGGAUUUUUUAUUGUAAUAUUGGAAUGAAGGUGGAUUUAAUGGUAAUUUAAUUCAGAAUAUUUAGGUGAUUAAAGCUCUAAAAUAUGUACACAUCGCCCGUCGCUCUCGUUAUAAGAUGAG